GAUUAACGCUGGCGGCGUGCAUAACACAUGCAAGUCGAACGAUGAAACUUUACUGACUUCUUCGGAAUGAUUUAAAGCGGAUUAGUGGCGAACGGGUGAGUAACGCGUGAGUAACCUGCCUUACACAAGGGGAUAGCCUCUGGAAACGGAGAAUAAUACCCUAUGAAACCAGACAAUCGCAUGAUAAUCUGGUCAAAAUGUUUAGUGGUGUAAGAUGGACUUGCGUCUGAUUAGCUAGUUGGUGAGAUAAAAGCUCACCAAGGCAACGAUCAGUAGCCGGCUUGAGAGAGUGUACGGACACAUUGGGACUGAGACACGGCCCAGACUCCUACGGGAGGCAGCAGUGGGGAAUUUUGCACAAUGGGGGAAAACCUGAUGCAGCGACGCCGCGUGAUUUAGAAGGCCUUCGGGUUGUAAAAAUCUUUUGUAUAGGAAGAAAAUGACAGUACUAUACGAAUAAGGUCCGGCUAAUUACGUG
rnacentral:rRNA from 1 species